rnacentral:rRNA from 1 species
GUACUAGAGUAGCACUCGCAUAUCAAUAAGCGGAGGAAAAGAAACUAACAAGGAUUCCCCUAGUAACGGCGAGUGAAGCGGGAAGAGCUCAAAUUUGAAAUCUUAAAGGGUUUCCCUUUACGAAUUGUAGUUUAAAGAAGUGUUUUCUGUUGAGGUUUUGGUAAAAGUUCUUUGGAAUAGGACAUCAUAGAGGGUGAGAAUCCCGUAUUUGACCUUUACUUUCAACUUUGUGAUACACUUUCAAAGAGUCGGAUUGUUUGGGAAUGCAGUCCAAAAUGGGUGGUAAAUUUCAUCUAAAGCUAAAUAUUGGCGAGAGACCGAUAGCGAACAAGUACCGUGAGGGAAAGAUGAAAAGAACUUUGAAAAGAGAGUUAAACAGUACGUGAAAUUGUCAAAAGGGAAGCGUUUGACACCAGUGUUGUUUUUCUGAAAAUCAAUUAAAGAACUGUUUAUGCUAAGCUGUUUAGACUUUAUCAGCUAUCUGUUUAGUUUUGAGCUUUUCUUUAAUGCACUUUUCAGUUAACAAGUCAACAUCAAUUUCUUUUGCUGUAAAAAAGCUUGAGGAAGGUGGCUUGAGAUUCGUCUUAAGUGUUUAUAGCCUCUUGCCUAUGCAGUCGGAGAGAUUGAGGUCUGCAGCGUAGAUCCUUCGGGGCUAAAUGCAUUUGUGCUAAGUUAUAGCAUUUUAUAGACAACUUGUUGACUAUGAUUUGUCUUGUAGCUUACUCGCUUAUGUUAUUUUACCUACGCUUAGGAUGUUGAGCGCAUGUCUCUCUCU